UAAGGAAUAUUGGUCAAUGGACGCAAGUCUGAACCAGCCAUGCCGCGUGAAGGAUGAAGGUCCUCUGGAUUGUAAACUUCUUUUAUCUGGGACGAAAAAAGCUCAUUCUUGAGCACUUGACGGUACCAGAAGAAUAAGCACCGGCUAACUCCGUGCCAGCAGCCGCGGUAAUACGGAGGGUGCAAGCGUUAUCCGGAUUUACUGGGUUUAAAGGGUGCGUAGGUGGAUUUGUAAGUCAGUGGUGAAAUCUCCGAGCUUAACUCGGAAACUGCCAUUGAUACUAUAAGUCUUGAAUUAUCUGGAGGUAAGCGGAAUAUGUCAUGUAGCGGUGAAAUGCUUAGAUAUGACAUAGAACACCAAUUGCGAAGGCAGCUUACUACGGAUUGAUUGACACUGAGGCACGAAAGCGUGGGGAUCAAACA
rnacentral:rRNA from 1 species